UGCAAAUCAAUAUAAAUUGAUUAAUAUUUAUUUAUUAAUUUAUUUUAUUUUUAUUAAAGAUUAUUUAUUUAUUUAUAUUAAAAAUAAUUUUAAAAAUAAAUUGUUUUAGUAAUUUUUAAUGAAAAAAUAAAUUAAAUAAUAGUUUAUUUAGUAUUGUGAAAGGUUAUUGAAAUAUUUUGAAAAAUUUUUAUUUUAUAAGAGAAAUUUAAUUUUUGUACCUUGUGUAUCAGGGUUUAUUAAAUAAUUAAUAAUUAAAUUAUUAAUCUCGAUUUUAUAAGAGUUAAUAAUUUAUGAAAUUUAAUGUAUUAAAAUUAUUUUAAAUAAAUUAUUUGAAAUGAAAUGUUAUUCGUUUAUAAAUAUAUCUAGUUUUUUUAGAAAUAAAUUUAAUUUAUAAAUUUUUGAUUUAUUUAUUAAUUUAUUAAUAAAUAAAUUCAUUAAUUUAAUUAUUUUAAGGGAUAAGCUUUAGAAUAAAUUAUUAAAAAUAUAAUAAAUUUUAGAAUUAAAAUAUAUGUUUAGAAUUAGCAAUUAUUUUUAAAAUUGUUAUAAAUUAUUUAUAAAAUAUAUUAUUUAUUUAAGUUUUAAUUAUUUAUAAAAAUUUUUUUUUUAAUUUAAUUUAAAAAUUAAUAAUGAUAAAAUUAGUAUAUAUUUAUGUUUAAAUAAUUUUAAUUGACAAGUUUAUAUAAAGAACUCGGCAAAUAUUUUACUCGCCUGUUUAACAAAAACAUGUCUUUUUGAGUUAUUUUUAAAGUCUAACCUGCCCAAUGAAUAAUUUUUAAUGGCCGCAGUAUUUUAACUGUGCAAAGGUAGCAUAAUCAUUAGUCUUUUAAUUGAAGGCUUGUAUGAAUGGUUGGACGAAGUAUAAUCUGUUUCAUAUAAAUUUAUUAUAAAAUUUUAUAUUUUAGUAAAAAAGCUAAAAUUUUAUUAAAAGACGAGAAGACCCUAUAAAUCUUUAUAAUUUUUGUUAUUUUAAUUUUUUGGGUUUAUUUUAUUUUUAUAUAAAAAAUUAUUCUGUUGGGGUGAUAUUAAAAUUUAAGAAACUUUUAAUUUUUUUUUACAUUAAUUUAUGAUUAAUUGAUCCAUUAUUAAUGAUUAUAAGAAUAAGUUACUUUAGGGAUAACAGCGUAAUUUUUUUGGAGAGUUCUUAUUGAUAAAAAAGUUUGCGACCUCGAUGUUGGAUUAAGAUAUAAUUUUAGGUGUAGUUGCUUAAAUAAUAAGUCUGUUCGACUUU
rnacentral:rRNA from 1 species